GCAAAGGUAGCAUAAUCAUUUGCCCCUUAAUUAGGGGCUAGCAUGAAUGGACUCACUCUUCUUUCAUGUCUCUAAGAUUGCUGUAUAACUUUUCCUUCAGACGAGCAGACCUGAAUUCCACAGAAGGACCAAAAGACCCUAUAGCGCUUCAUAAACCCAUAAACCUCUAUUUACCAGUCUAUUUUAUUGGGGCAAUAAAAGGUAAAAAACACCUUCCACCACUCUUACCGCAAAUUACUUCCUAACCCACCAUACGAACCAGAAAAAGCAACCUUAGGGAUAACAGUCUAAUUUUUCUUAAUAGUCCACAUUAAAAGAAUAGUUUGGCAC
rnacentral:rRNA from 1 species